rnacentral:lncRNA from 1 species
ACACACAAGUGUGCUAAACGCGGAGUGGCAGAAGAGGUGGCAAAUCAGACCUAUGAUGGGGAAAUAAAGAGGAAAUGUAUCCAAGAAUAGACAGACAAGCUGAAGUGGCAGAGGUCCCAGGAGGUGUGUGAGGACAGCCCCAGCGACCUGCUCCAGGGGUGCACAGAGCCCCAGACCUGGGGCAGACAAGAGCCGGGACCCAGCCAGCCAAAGGGAAUGAGCCUCGCCAAUGGCCUCGCCUUCCAGCCUCAGCAGAGUACGCAGUGGGCCUCAGCAGUGAGCAGAAUGACAAGGACAGCACCUCUGCCAGGGCCAGGCACCCAGGCAGAGGCGGCCGAGGGCCCGGCCAGUCUUCACCACAGCCUGAGUGUGCCGUCUGUCUUGCUUCCUAGAGUGGGGACCAGGAGGACCCCGGGGGACACUGUGUUAGGGAGGCGUGAGGACACGCUGCAAAGUUAAGCGAUAAUACAUGAGACGGAGGCGGGGCCAACCAAGGAGGGGGCAUUUGGUUUCAUAAUUGAUAAAUCCAUACAUAUAUAUAUAUGUAUAUGCAUAUAUAUGUACAUACAAUUUAGAUAAACACGGAGGGUGAGAAUGAGAAGCCUCUUUUAAUCAUAAUUUUAAAAAGACAACUCCACAAACAAAAAA